UACGUAGGGGGCUAGCGUUGUCCGGAAUCAUUGGGCGUAAAGAGCGUGUAGGCGGCCCGGUAAGUCCGCUGUGAAAGUCGGGGGGCUCAACCCUCGAAUGCCGGUGGAUACUGUCGGGCUAGAGUGCGGAAGAGGCGAGUGGAAUUCCUGGUGUAGCGGUGAAAUGCGCAGAUAUCGGGAGGAACACCAAUGGCGAAGGCAGCUCGCUGGGACGGUACUGACGCUGAGGCGCGAAAGCGUGGGGAGCAAACAGG
rnacentral:rRNA from 1 species